rnacentral:tRNA from 3 species
GCGAAUGUGGCGGAACUGGUAGACGCGCUGGAUUUAGGUUCCAGUAGGUUUCCUGUGAGAGUUCGAGUCUCUCCAUUCGCACCA